rnacentral:lncRNA from 1 species
UAUAUACUACAUUUUGUUUUUCCAUUAAUCUGAUGAGGAAUAUCUGGGUUCUUUCCGCCCUUUGGUGACUGUGGAUAAUGUUACUAUAGUUUUAUAGGUUUAGGUCUUACAUUUAGGUAUUUGAUCCUUUUUGAGUUAAUUUUCAUAUAUGAUGUUAGUUAAAAAAUAAAGCAGCUGGAUGACUACUCUCUAAGUAGUGCCUUCCAGCUCUGCUGUUCCCUGGUUCUAAUUGGAGAGGAAUAGAAGCAGCAGCUCUGGGAUACCCAAUUUUCCACAGACCUUCUCAAGAGCACCCUGAUUUUCCUUAGGGAAACUACGCGGGCCCCCAAGUCCACGUCAUCUGGGCAGGGCUGACUAUACACAGCCCUUGGCUCCCUGGGCUGGAACCCUAACCUAGCCAAUCAGAGCACUGUUCCCCUCAGCCACAAUGAUUGGUUCAGGGAUUAGCAUGUGCCCCAGCUGGGCGCGGUGGCUCACGCCUGUAAUCCCAGCACUUUGGGAGGCCGAGGCGGGUGGAUCACGAGGUCAAGAGAUCGAGACCAUCCUGGUCAACAUGGUGAAACCCCGUCUCUACUAAAAAUACAAAAAUUAACUGGGCGUGGUGGCACACGCCUGUAGUCCCAGCUACUCAGGAGGCUGAGGCAGGAGAAUCGCUUGAACCCAGGAGGCGGAGGUUACAGUGAGCUGAGAUCGCGCCACUACACUCCAGCCUGGCAAGAGAGUGAGACUCUGUCUCAAAAAAAAAAAAAAAAAUAAAAUAAAAUAAAGAAAAGAAAAAGAAAAAGAAAAGAAAAGCAUGUGCCUCACACUGGGCCAAUGAGAGGCCUCCUUGGGCAGUGGCAGGAAGAGGCAUUCUUGUCUCUGGAGCUGCUGAGCUGGGAGAAUCAAAACCUGGAGCUUGAGGUGGCCAUCUGGUCACUUGGUGUGGGGAGUUUGCCUGAAAAGUCAGUACCUGGGAAAUGGAGCUGAGAAACAGAGAGAGAGUUGUAGGGCCAUGGUCCAGCCCUCAAUCCAGCCGUGGAGGUCCAUGCACUCUUCAUUCCAGUACCUUCUCCCCUUUUGUUUGUUUCAUCCGGAAUUUAGUCUUAUACACUGGGAC